AGUCUGAGGAAACAAUAAAUUAUCUUCAUAUUUAAAUCUUCUGUUUUAAAAAUAUAACCUUGUGCGUGAAAGUCGAAAAAAAAUUACGUUAAGGAUUAAUUUUGUUGGCGCAAAAUCCUGUUUUCGACAUUUCUCGUGAAAAAAAAAGAAAGAAAGAAAAAUAAGUAUUCGUAUAGUGGCGCCACCUGAAAUCUAUGACUAAAGAGUGGAAGCUCCUAUUCCCCCCACUACGGAUUUUUCAUAUACACGUUUGAUUGGUUUACAUUAUAUAUCCGCGAAGUAAAACUACGAUAGCCCGUUUCUUUGUCUCUUUAUAUAAAUUGAUGAUCAGAGAAAGAGAGAGAUAUUUUGAUUCAAUUCAAAAUGGAAGAAAAUGAAUAUUCUAUGACGCAAAAGUUCUAAAAUGGUAAUCAUACGAUUUCGUAAUUUAGGAUAUAACUGUAAAAAAUCAUUGCAAUAGCACGCGCAUGAAUGAAAUAAUCGAGUAUUUGUAUCUCGUUGAAAUAAAAAUAUGAUGAAAUAAAUGCAGAUUUCCAUAUGUUUCAA